UAUUUUUGCAUUUUAGAAUGUAAUAAAAUAUACUCUUCCUUUAUGAGUCACUUUUAGGUUUAAUUAUAUUUACCUAACUUCUGGGGACAACACACCCACACAGACACACACACACACACAAACUCACCCACAUACACACACACAUAUACAGUUGAAGGAAUAAAUGGAAGCAGGCUUGACCAAACAUGCCCAGGACACCAGAACCACCUUAAUUCUUCUUCUUCCACCAUCUACGCUUCAUUUCACGCGCAAAACCAAAAAGUUACACCCUUGACUCCGCGUCUCUUUAUAAAUAAUGGACGCGCAAGUGCGUCGCGACGCGAAGGACGCACAGAGGCUUCGGUUACUUCGUAUCGUAUCGUUUCAUGGAAGCUCUGGACCCGUAGCGCGAGUCAGUACUGGUGCAUUCGCUGAAAUGUGCCUGAUGCAUCAGUGUUGACAUGCACAACAGCAACAACAGCCCUCGCCAAAGCAAAAGCGCACGCACACAAAGGACGUUACUUUACGCUUUUCGCUCUUUUUCUCAUGCAACUUACAAGAGGGCGACAACUCUUGGAGAAAACAGUACAAGAGGUCCAUCACACAGACGCCGCUUCACCCCAUUGACCCUUCAGCAUGACAAAUGUCAUCUCAGCUGGCCUCUCACUGUCUUAAGACCCUACACUUCAGAGCAGUGCUGCAGUGAACGGGUUAAUAGUCUUAUGAGGAAUUAAAAUCCACUGCACAAUUUUAAACUAGCUGUUAUCAGUAUCUCUUCUUUUUACUAGUAGCAUUAGUAGAGGGUAUUAUUCCUUGUUUCAUUCUUUUUUAAUCUAGAUGUCUCUCCACCCGCACCCCUCCCGCUCACCCUUAGAUGGGACAUCUAAUAAGCGGUUUCUGUCUAAUACUGCUGUUGCCACAGUAACACGUCAGGUGGCCGGUUGAUAUGGCAACCAUGGUCCUCUAUUUGAGUUUUUGGAGAGAACGACUGGGGUUCAACACAGAGCCUUUGAAAUCUAAAAAGACGGACUGACAAAAUCAAAUCUAAAAUCACGUACUGUAUACAUGUACAAAUGAUUCAUAUGCUGUAGUCCAGUCUUAGACAUAUAUGAACUUUCUAGGCUUUUGGCUAUUGGUGUUUUCACACCUUUUAUAUUCAGGAUAAGACCUUUAAAUUCUGGCAAAUACCACAAUAUCUAAUAACCUCUGUAUUACAUCUUAAUAUUCUCUGUCAUUUUUUUUUUUUUAUUGUAUUAUUUAUAGCAUUUAUUGUUUUUUAUGUUAUUAUUUAUAGCAUUUGAUUGACCAAUGAUUUUUGGCAAGGAUUUAAAAGAAAAUGUUUUAUUUUCUAUAUUUAUUAAAUAUAUUUAAAUAAUUGUUUUCUAAGCUUCAGGAAGCAUCAGACAAAAAAUUCACAUUUAAUUCAAUGUGUUCCUUGCCCGUUCUUUAAAAUUUACUGGCAAAUUGAUUAUGAUUGAAAAAUCAAAAAUGAAAGACACCGAUAUAGAAAUGUGUUUUUAUACAAACUUCGGGAUGAUUUAAUUAGUUUUGAUUAACAGCAUCCCAUAAUUGGUGUUUAUUGAUAUGAAUUUAAAUUUAACGCAAAUGUUUCUUAUAAAAAAAAUUAUCGAUUUUCAUUUAUUAUGCAAAUUGUAAUCAGAAUUCAGAGAAACAAAGAAAGAAAGAAAGAAAGAAAGAAAGAAAGAAAGAAAGAAAGAAAGAACGAAAGAAAGAAAGAAAGAAAGAAAGAAAGAAAGAAAGAAAGAAAGAAAGAAAAAGAAAGAAAAAGAAAGAAGUGCUGGCAAACAGGAACACAUUUAUGCUGAAAAUUCAUCUUAAUCUUGCAAUUGGGAAAAAAAAAAAAAAAAAAAUCACAUUUACUCUCUUCACAACUCUGCUCAAAAUGUCAUAUUGUGGAGAUUGAAGCAUCUUGAAGCUAUUCAUGGAAUUGUAAAUCCUUAUUUAACCCACCCAGUUUCUGCCCUCCAUAUGACAGCCAAUGUGCUGCUGUCUGUCUGCUGACCCCGUGACCUUAACCUCAAACAGCAGCCUGACACAGCGUCUGCUUCUCAAACCUCUCAAAAAUCAUCACACAGGACAACCACAAACCCUCUGCUCUACUUUGGCUUUUUUAUUUUAUUUUUAAGGUAAGUCCAUAUUGUAAAUAAAUGUCUAUUCUAUGAAUAUAUUUAUCUGUUC
ensembl:lncRNA